UGGUUUAACCCAUGGUUCACAUGUUCGCUGUUGUGUCGAGAAUCGAGACAAACUGUUGAACGAUUAACAAGCUUUCCGUAAUAUUAUAAGUAACUGACGGAAUACGAGCGAAAAUGUUGAAAACGUUGAAAUUUGGACAAAGAGCUUACUGCAGAAUUCAGAAAUCUCUGAUACAGAGACGAACGUUCCUGUCUGAAGCGUACCGGUGCGAGGAAGCGUGGAAAGAUAGAUUCAAAUUUCCUUUACUACGAAACGUUAAACCAGAAAAUUUGUUCAUAGACUUGGACCACAAACAAUCCACCACUGGUAAAAUAAGUGCGAUCGACAUCGACAUAUUCGCGAAUACCGUAAAGGAGCAAUUUCAAAUAGAGGAACUGUUAACUUUAGUUCAUAAUUUGAGGUUAACCGCUGAAACGUCGAACACCUUAGAGUCGACUCACCACGCUGUCAUAAGAUAUUUGUUGGACGUUGACUGCACAGAAGAUCUUAUAAACGUGUUGCACGACAGACUAAAUUAUGGCAUUUUUCCCGACUACUUAUGUUACAAUAUACUUAUGGACACAUACAUAAAAAGGAAAGAUUAUGCUACCGCAGCAAAAAUUGCUGUUUUACCUAUGCUACAAGAAGAUUCAGGGAAUCCGAUAACUAACGCAUUGUGCGUGUACUGUUGUCACAAACAUUUGGAAAGUCCUGAAAAGUGGCAGAAGCCAGAGGUUCCAGUAGAUGAUUCCAAAGAAGAAAUUAAAGUGCGCGUGCGCUAUCUCAGGAAUCCUUACUUUGAUGAUCAUUUUGAUCUUACUGACCCACGUGAUUUGGUGGGAAAAACGUUAGCUUUUUAUGGAAAGUUUAUGAAUAAUACAUUAGGAAGAACUUGUCAGUUAAGAGGUUUAAUAUUAUAUAAAAAGUAUGAUGAUAUCUCGAAGCUAAUAGAACAGUGGUUGAAGGAAGUAAAAGAUAAUGUAGUUUACGAAGAAGUUCUUGAUUUGAUAAAAAAGGAUAAUGAAAGUCUAUCCGAAGAGCAAGUAACAGAUGAAUUUAAGAAUGUAAUGUCCCAAGUUGAGAAAUUACGAGCUGUAAAUCUGUGUAAAGAUAGUUUAAUUGAAGCAUUGGAGAAUGAAGUUAAAUCGGCAGUUGACAAGCAAUCAGAGAUAGAUAUAAGCGAACAAUUACAGAAAUAUAUUCAUUGGGGAGAAGUAAGAGAAAUAGUGUUACAAGAUCAAUUACUAGAAAUAGAACGACAAAAGAGCAUAGAAAAUUUAACUGCAUUGAAGAAAGCAUUGAAGGACGAAGAGAAACUUAUAACAUUCUUCGAGAAUGAGGAAAAAAUAGAAUUGGAAAUAGAGAAAAUAGAAAAGAGGGAACAAGAUGAGAUGGAUCGUGUUCUUAAAAUGCAUAAAGCUGAAAAGAAACUUAAGAAAUUGGAGAAAGAAGAAGAGUACAUACCGCCAACUGUUAGAAAACAGAGAAGUUAAAUUUCUGAUGUCAUCGUAAACAAUGAAUACAAUUUUGUAGUUAAUAACUAUUUAAUAAAAUGUAUGUUGACAUAAAUUGUUUGUGGGAGGAUAAUAAUGAUCAGCAGUUAUUCUCUCCAAAUUUGCUCCAACAUUUUUCGUAGAUUCGGAAUCAAUCUUUAAAAAAAAUAUACGA